rnacentral:rRNA from 1 species
UGGCUCAGAACGAACGCUGGCGGCGCGUUUAAGCAUGCAAGUCGAGCGGCAAGGGCCUUCGGGCCCCUAGAGCGGCGGACGGGUGAGUAACACGUGGACAAUCUCGCCCCCCGGCCCGGGAUAGCCCAGGGAAACCUGGAUUAAUACCGGAUGAGACCGGGACCCGCGAUGGCGGGACCCGGGAAAGGCGCUGCGGCGCCGGCCGGGGGAUGAGUCUGCGUCCCAUUAGCUAGACGGCGGGGUAACGGCCCACCGUGGCGACGAUGGGUAGCCGGCCUGAGAGGGUGGACGGCCACAUUGGAACUGAGACACGGUCCAGACUCCUACGGGAGGCAGCAGCUAAGAAUCUUCCGCAAUGGGCGAAAGCCUGACGGGAAGCGACGCCGCGUGAACGAAGAAGGCCGUGAGGUUGUAAAGUUCUUUUCGGGAGGGGAACAACCGUGGCAGGGAAUGGCCGCGGGAUGACGUGAAUCCCGGAAUAAGCCCCGGCUAACUACGUGCCAGCCGCCGC